AGUUUGCAAAGAUAUUCCGCAGUCUGGGACCCAACUUCGUCGGAAUUAUGGACAUGAUAUCGCCUCCCAGAUAACAAACAGAGGUCUUGAACGUACUCCGCUUAGUGUUACAGGAGGUAGUACGCUGUCACCGAUAGCAACGAGUAUCGGCGAGAGGUCCACCCCCGGCACAUCCCUGACUAAUGAGACCACUAAGACAACAGGACGGAGAGGACGUGUUCCUUGUGGAAAUCUGCACCGGGCUCAUAAUUUCUUAAUAGAAAUCAAUAAUUAGUCAAAAAUUUAUUCAUUGUAAUCAUCUGGUGUAAUUUGAAUUCUAAAAAUAUUAUUAUUUGACAGAACAUCCCGAAUUUGGACGCGCGGAAAACUGAUUUCGUCUGAAUUGAUUGCACAUUGCUGGAACACUUCAGUUUGAGACUUUUACAAAUGGAACAGGGUUGUUGUAAGAUACUUGGAUAGCUCCUGCUUUACUGGCGACAGGCAAGAAUCCAAUUUAUAAUUUAAAUUUC